rnacentral:rRNA from 1 species
GUGCCAGCCGCCGCGUAAUUCCAGCUCCAAUAGCGUAUAUUAAAGUUGUUGUGGUUAAAAAGCUCGUAGUUGAACCUUGGGCCUGGCUGGCCGGUCCGCCUCACCGCGUGCACUGGUCCGGCCGGGCCUUUCCCUCUGUGGAACCCCAUACCCUUCACUGGGCGCGGCGGGGAAACAGGACAUUUACUUUGAAAAAAUUAGAGUGCUCCAGGCAGGCCUAUGCCCGAAUACAUUAGCAUGGAAUAAUAAAAUAGGACGCGCGGUUCUAUUUUGUUGGUUUAUAGGACCGCCGUAAUGAUUAAUAGGGACAGUCGGGGGCAUCAGUAUUCAACUGUCAGAGGUGAAAUUCUUGGAUCAGUUGAAGACUAACUACUGCGAAAGCAUUUGCCAAGGAUGUUUUCAUUAAUCAGGAACGAAAGUUAGGGGAUCGAAGACGAUCAGAUACCGUCGUAGUCUUAACCAUAAACUAUGCCGACUAGGGAUCGGACGGUGUUAUUCAUGACCCGUUCGGCACCUUACGAGAAAUCAAAGUGCUUGGGCUCCAGGGGGAGUAUGGUCGCAAGGCUGAAACUUAAAGAAAUUGACGGAAGGGCACCACCAGGGGUGGAGCCUGCGGCUUAAUUUGACUCAACACGGGGAAACUCACCAGGUCCAGACACAAUAAGGGAUUGACAGAUUGAGAGCUCUUUUCUUGAUUUUGUGGGUGGUGGUGCAUGGCUCGUUCUUAGUUUGGUGGGGUGACUUGUUCUGCUUAAUUGCGAUAACGCA